CUGUAGCCUAGCCUUUCUAUGCUCCGCCAAUCGUAUGAAACAUUACACAGGGUUCCCUACAUCCCGGCUUGUGAUUGGCUCUCUGUCCGUGUUCCUUCUUUUCAUUGGCUAUAAACCCGGACACUACCACCUCGCACACGGCACAACAACAAAGGCAACAGUUGUUCGCGUUGUAGUUUUCUAUUGUCGCUACUCGCUAAUUCGCUUUACAAACUUUAAUAACUUGAACGAGAGAUCCAUUGAUGUUAGCGAGAGCUAUGGAACCGAACCAGGCAGCAGCAUGUCCGACACGGAGGAGCAGGAGAUUAGUGUUAGUGACGCCGACACGCCGGUAAACGCUGAAGACUCCAGCUCCCUGCCGGAGGACGACUCUGAGCCCGAGCCUGAACGGGACGAGGUCGAGGAGGACGACCAACCAGCCACUGCAGCUAGUGCCCAGAACGACCAUCCAUGGCCCUACUUGCAGCACUACCUGCAGAGAACACUACCUUCUCUCACCUUUGUUUCAGACAGAAAGUGUACAGUUACUUUCCUGUGCUGUUUUUUUUUUUGUUCCCCUUUCCAUCUCUCCCCUAUAUUUGAAAGGAAUGUUUUUGGUACUAAACAUUUGCAGUAAGUAGACUAUAAGCUACAUCUUGUAUGAUGCUACAUUCCUGUAGGCUACUUGCUCUGUUGUGGUUUUGUUCUCGGUUCCACUUAUUUUGUUGUCUCUCCCUGAGUGAACCAAAGCAAAUUUCAAUCAACUGUUGUUGAGAAACUAUGUUGAAAUGGCAAUAAAUUCUUGAAUAUUGAA